AUUGAGCGCUGGCGGCAUGCCUUACACAUGCAAGUCGAAUGGUAACGGGCCUUCGGGUGCCGACGAGUGGCGAACGGGUGAGUAAUGUAUCGGAACGUACCUUUCAGUGGGGGAUAACGUAGCGAAAGUUACGCUAAUACCGCAUAUUCUGUGCGCAGGAAAGCAGGGGAUCGCAAGACCUUGCGCUGAUUGAGCGGCCGAUAUCAGAUUAGCUAGUUGGUGAGGUAAAGGCUCACCAAGGCGACGAUCUGUAGCGGGUCUGAGAGGAUGAUCCGCCACACUGGAACUGGGACACGGUCCAGACUCCUACGGGAGGCAGCAGUGGGGAAUUUUGGACAAUGGGGGCAACCCUGAUCCAGCCAUGCCGCGUGAGUGAAGAAGGCCUUCGGGUUGUAAAGGACUUUUGUUAGGGAGCAAGUCCUGCAGGUUAAGAGCUAGUAGGGAUGAGAGUACCUAAAGAAUAAGCACCGGCUAACUACGUGCCAGCAGCCGCGGUAAUAC
rnacentral:rRNA from 1 species